AUACGUUUCACCGUUUCCGUGUUUUAGUGAAUUAAUCGUCCGCCCUCCGUUUCUCCGCUUACCCACAUCUUCCUCUCCCAAAAACUAUCUUCACGGGGGGGGGGGAAUAGGAAAAAGAAUACAACGGGGUCAAAACGAGCUGUACACCAUUGUCAAAUGCUCCUUAUCAAACUGGGUUCGUCGGUACGGCCAAGAUGAUCGACGUGUGUUCCUGGAGUCUACGGAAACGUUACCUGAAGGAGAGAAAGAGAGGAUCUCUUUACACAUUGACCGUGACCAUCGCAGCUGGCCACCCAGUGUCUUCUGCCCUUCACCCACUAAAAGCCCCCAAGAGAUUCAAACUGGCAGCAGAUCACAGAGGCCGGGCCUUUCGGCUAGAUUUUGGAGUUGCAGCAGUUCGACACCCUUCCGGUGCUACUUUUACUGAGUUGUACGGCAACCGUUUCUCAUUGGAUAAAUUUUGUGCAUUGAAGCGAAA